AGUCGUAACAAGGUCUCCGUAGGUGAACCUGCGGAGGGAUCAUUACACAAAUAUGAAGGCGGGCUGGAACCUCUCGGGGUUACAGCCUUGCUGAAUUAUUCACCCUUGUCUUUUGCGUACUUCUUGUUUCCUUGGUGGGUUCGCCCACCACUAGGACAAACAUAAACCUUUUGUAAUUGCAAUCAGCGUCAGUAACAAAUUAAUAAUUACAACUUUCAACAACGGAUCUCUUGGUUCUGGCAUCGAUGAAGAACGCAGCGAAAUGCGAUAAGUAGUGUGAAUUGCAGAAUUCAGUGAAUCAUCGAAUCUUUGAACGCACAUUGCGCCCUUUGGUAUUCCAAAGGGCAUGCCUGUUCGAGCGUCAUUUGUACCCUCAAGCUUUGCUUGGUGUUGGGCGUCUUGUCUCUAGCUUUGCUGGAGACUCGCCUUAAAGUAAUUGGCAGCCGGCCUACUGGUUUCGGAGCGCAGCACAAGUCGCACUCUCUAUCAGCAAAGGUCUAGCAUCCAUUAAGCCUUUUUUUCAACUUUUGACCUCGGAUCAGGUAGGGAUACCCGCUGAACUUAAGCAUAUCAAUAAGCGGAGGAA
rnacentral:misc_RNA from 1 species